rnacentral:rRNA from 1 species
GAUGAACGCUGGCGGCGUGCCUAAUACAUGCAAGUCGAACGCUGGAAAUCUAGCUUGCUAGAUUGAAGGAGUGGCGAACGGGUGAGUAAUACAUAAGCAACCUACCCACGAAGACUGGGAUAAUCUCUGGAAACGGGGACUAAUACCGGAUAGGUAAUCGGAAGGCAUCUUCUGAUUAUUAAAGGUUAAAAACACUGGUGGAUGGGCUUAUGGCGCAUUAGUUAGUUGGUGAGGUAACGGCCCACCAAGACGAUGAUGCGUAGCCGGCCUGAGAGGGUGAACGGCCACAUUGGGACUGCGACACGGCCCAGACUCCUACGGGAGGCAGCAGUAGGGAAUUUUCGGCAAUGGGGGAAAACCUGACCGAGCAACGCCGAGUGAGUGAUGACGGCCUUCGGGUUGUAAAGCUCUGUUGUAAGGGAAGAACGGUAGAUAGAGAAUAUCUAAAUGACGGUACCUUACCAGAAAGCCACGGCUAACUACGUG